GGGCCUAUCAUUCAAUAGGAUAGGAUUUUGACCUUCUAAGUCAAUAAUGCAGGUUCGAGUCCUGCUGGGCCUA
rnacentral:tRNA from 1 species